ACUCAGUCACUGCCAGAUCCUGAGCAGAUCCGUCCUGGCCCUGGGGAGUGGACCAUCAGGGGGCAGGGCUGGCCAGUGAGCAGAGAGCUGGCGGUGACAUGGGCUCAGCACAGAGCACCACGUGGGGCCUGGGAGGAGCCAUGAGAGCCGGCAGCCCUGCCUGUCCUCCAGAUGAAAGCGAGGCCCGCAGCCUGAGAGGGAGGGAGGAGACGCUAAUUACGCCCAGCGCGGGGCUCCCCAGGCAGCCUCAGCCACAGGAUCAAACACCGCCUUCCUCAGCCACGCGCCCGCCCUGCCCUGCAGGAGCAGUCACGGAGCUGCGACACCACCAGAGCUGGGACACCACCAGAGCUGCGAGACCACCAGAGCUGUGACACCACCAGAGCCGGGACACCACCAGAGCCGGGACACCACCAGAGCCGGGACACCACCAGAGCUCCGAGACCACCAGAGCUGCCACACCACCAGAGCUGUGACACCACCAGAGCCGUGACACCACCAGAGCCGGGACACCACCAGAGCCGGGACACCACCAGAGCCGCGAGACCACCAGAGCCGUGACACCACCAGAGCCGGGACACCACCAGAGCUGGGACACCACCAGAGCUGCGAGACCACCAGAGCUGGGACACCACCAGAGCUGCCACACCACCAGAGCUGCGACAGCACCAGAGCCGGGACACCAGCAGAGCCGGGACACCACCAGAGCCGCAACACCACCAGAGCUGCGACACCAGCAGAGCCGCGACACCAGCAGAGCCGGGACACCACCAGAGCCGUGACACCAGCAGAGCCGGGACACCACCAGAGCUGCGAGACCACCAGGGCCGGGACACCACCAGGGCCGGGACACCACCAGAGCUGCGAGACCACCAGGGCCGGGACACCACCAGAGCCGGGACACCACCAGAGCUGCGAGACCACCAGGGCCGUGACACCACCAGAGCCGGGACACCACCAGAGCUGGGACACCACCAGAGCUGCGAGACCACCAGAGCUGGGACACCACCAGAGCUGCCACACCACCAGAGCUGCGACACCAGCAGAGCCGCGACACCAGCAGAGCCGGGACACCAGCAGAGCCGGGACACCACCAGAGCCGUGACACCAGCAGAGCCGGGACACCACCAGGGCCGGGACACCAGCAGAGCCGGGACACCACCAGAGCCGUGACACCAGCAGAGCCGGGACACCACCAGGGCCGGGACACCACCAGAGCUGCGAGACCACCAGGGCCGGGACACCACCAGAGCCGGGACACCACCAGAGCUGGGACACCACCAGAGCUGCGAGACCACCAGAGCCGUGACACCACCAGAGCCGUGACACCAGCAGAGCUGGGACACCACCAGAGCUGUGAGACCACCAGAGCCGGGACACCACCAGAGCCGGGACACCACCAGAGCUGCGAGACCACCAGAGCCGUGACACCAGCAGAGCCGGGACACCACCAGAGCCGGGACACCACCAGAGCCGGGACACCACCAGAGCUCCGAGACCACCAGAGCUGCCACACCACCAGAGCUGUGACACCACCAGAGCUGUGACACCACCAGAGCCGGGACACCACCAGAGCCGGGACACCACCAGAGCUGCGAGACCACCAGAGCUGGGACACCACCAGAGCUGGGACACCACCAGAGCCGGGACACCACCAGAGCUCCGAGACCACCAGAGCUGCCACACCACCAGAGCUGUGACACCACCAGAGCCGGGACACCACCAGAGCCGGGACACCACCAGAGCCGGGACACCACCAGAGCUGUGACACUGUGGCUUCAGUAAAGCUGUUUCUUCUACCACUGGCUUGCCCUUGCAUUCUUUCCUGGGUGAAGCCAAAAACCCAGAGGGCUAAACUCCACUUUCGGGCUCGCCUGCCUGCAUCAUAACCAUCAGGCCUGGAGAGCCGGGUCUCUUGAGAGUAAACUGCCGUGAGAUUCUACAGGAACUCUGCCUCUCCUCUGGGCUGAGCUGUUCUGCCUCAGUUUCCUCACUAACAAAAUGGGGUGACAUCUUGAGGUGGCCCCUCUCGGUGCUGCCAGCCUCUCUGCUCCCCACUCUUUUUGGGCAGCCCUCAAGGCCCUCGUACAGCAUCUGG
rnacentral:lncRNA from 1 species